ensembl:piRNA 21ur-4249 ncRNA
UGAUUGAACGAAAAUGAUAUU